CCUACGGGUGACAGCAGUGAGGAAUAUUGGUCAAUGGGCGCAAGCCUGAACCAGCCAAGUCGCGUGAGGGAAGACGGCCCUAUGGGUUGUAAACCUCUUUUGUCGGGGAGCAAGUCUGACUACGUGUGCCCUGGUGGAGAGUACCUGGAGAAAAAGCAUCGGCUAACUCCGUGCCAGCAGCCGCGGUAAUACGGAGGAUGCGAGCGUUAUCCGGAUUUAUUGGGUUUAAAGGGUGCGUAGGCGGGAUGUUAAGUCGGCGGUAAAAUUUCAGGGCUCAACCUCGUCGAGCCGUCGAAACUGGCAGUCUUGAGUGGGCGAGAAGUAUGCGGAAUGCGUGGUGUAGCGGUGAAAUGCAUAGAUAUCACGCAGAACGCCGAUUGCGAAGGCAGCAUACCGGCGCCCAACUGACGCUGAGGCACGAAAGCGUGGGGAUCGAACAGGAUUAGAUACCCUAGUAGUC
rnacentral:rRNA from 1 species